AAACUUUCAACAACGGAUCUCUUGGCUCUGGCAUCGAUGAAGAACGCAGCGAAAUGCGAUAAGUAAUGUGAAUUGCAGAAUUUAGUGAAUCAUCGAAUCUUUGAACGCACAUUGCGCCCCUUGGUAGUCCGAGGGGCAUGCCUGUUCGAGCGUC
rnacentral:rRNA from 3 species